AACGAACGCUGGCGGCAGGCCUAACACAUGCAAGUCGAACGCCCUAGCAAUAGGGAGUGGCAGACGGGUGAGUAACACGUGGGAACGUUCCUUUCGGUUCGGAAUAACCUAGGGAAACUUGGACUAAUACCGGAUACGUGCGAGGUUUUAAUCGACCUUGGAGAAAGAUUUAUCGCCGGAGGAUUGGCCCGCGUCUGAUUAGCUUGUUGGUGAGGUAAUGGCUCACCAAGGCGACGAUCAGUAGCUGGUCUGAGAGGAUGAUCAGCCACAUUGGGACUGAGACACGGCCCAAACUCCUACGGGAGGCAGCAGUGGGGAAUAUUGGACAAUGGGCGAAAGCCUGAUCCAGCGAUGCCGCGUGUGUGAAGAAGGCCUGCGGGUUGUAAAGCAACUUCAGUAGGGAAGAAAUGCUUGGAGCUAACACCGCC
rnacentral:rRNA from 1 species